GACCCCGCACAAGCGGUGGAGCAUGUGGUUUAAUUCGAUGAUACGCGAGGAACCUUACCAGGGCUUAAAUGUAGUGGGACAGGUCUAGAGAUAGACCCUUCUUCGGACUCAUUACAAGGUGCUGCAUGGUUGUCGUCAGCUCGUGCCGUGAGGUGUCAGGUUAAGUCCUAUAACGAGCGCAACCCCUAUCGUUAGUUGCCAGCGAGUAAUGUCGGGAACUCUAACGAAACUGCCAGUGCAAACUGUGAGGAAGGUGGGGAUGACGUCAAAUCAUCACGGCCCUUACGUCCUGGGCUACACACGUGCUACAAUGGCCGGUACAGAGAGCAGCCACUUCGCAAGAAGGAGCGAAUCUUCAAAGCCGGUCUCAGUUCGGAUCGGAGUCUGCAACUCGACUCCGUGAAGCUGGAAUC
rnacentral:rRNA from 1 species